rnacentral:rRNA from 1 species
AUCAACGCUGGCGGCGUGCCUAACACAUGCAAGUCGAACGCGAAAACCCCGCAAGGGGUUAGUAGAGUGGCAAACGGGUGAGUAACGCGUGGGUGACCUGCCUUCGAGCGGGGGAUAACGUUCCGAAAGGGACGCUAAUACCGCAUAACAUCCUGCCUUUGAACAGGUGGCGAUCAAAGCUGGGGACCGCAAGGCCCGGCACUUGAAGAGGGGCCCGCGUCUGAUUAGCUAGUUGGUGAGGUAACGGCUCACCAAGGCGACGAUCAGUAUCCGGCCUGAGAGGGCGGACGGACACACUGGGACUGAGACACGGCCCAGACUCCUACGGGAGGCAGCAGUGAGGAAUAUUGCUCAAUGGGCGAAAGCCUGAAGCAGCAACGCCGCGUGUGGGAUGAAGGCCCUCUGGGUUGUAAACCACUGUAGAAAGGGACAAAGGUCAUGCUCCGCAUGACUGGAUGGUACCUUUAAAGUAAGCCUCGGCUAACUACGUGCCAGCAGGCCGCGGUAAUACGUAGGAGGCAAGCGUUGUCCGGAAUCACUGGGUGUAAAGGGUGCGCAGGCGGGAAGGUAAGUCAAUGGUGAAAUCUCACGGCUCAACCGUGAAACUGCCAUUGAUACUGCUUUUCUUGAGUUUGGGAGAGGGUGGUGGAAUUCUUGGUGUAGCGGUGAAAUGCGUAGAUAUCAAGAAGAACACCAGUGGCGAAGGCGGCCACCUGGCCCAUAACUGACGCUCAUGCACGAAAGCGUGGGGAUCAAAC